AGAACGAACGCUGGCGGCAGGCUUAACACAUGCAAGUCGAGCGCCCCGCAAGGGGAGCGGCAGACGGGUGAGUAACGCGUGGGAAUCUACCCAUCUCUACGGAACAACUCCGGGAAACUGGAGCUAAUACCGUAUACGCCCUUCGGGGGAAAGAUUUAUCGGAGAUGGAUGAGCCCGCGUUGGAUUAGCUAGUUGGUGGGUAAUGGCCUACCAAGGCGACGAUCCAUAGCUGGUCUGAGAGGAUGAUCAGCCACACUGGGACUGAGACACGGCCCAGACUCCUACGGGAGGCAGCAGUGGGGAAUAUUGGACAAUGGGCGAAAGCCUGAUCCAGCCAUGCCGCGUGAGUGAUGAAGGCCCUAGGGUUGUAAAGCUCUUUCAACGGUGAAGAUAAUGACGUAACCGUAGAAGAAGCCCGCUAACUCGUGCCAGCCAGCCGC
rnacentral:rRNA from 1 species